UACAGAGGUCCCAAGCGUUGUUCGGAUUCACUGGGCGUAAAGGGUGCGUAGGUGGUGAGGUAAGUCGGAUGUGAAAGCUCCGAGCUCAACUCGGAAAUGGCAUUGGAAACUACCUUGCUCGAGGGUUUGAGGGGGGACUGGAAUACUUGGUGUAGCAGUGAAAUGCGUAGAUAUCAGGAGGAACACCGAUGGCGAAGGCAGGUCUCUGGGCCACUACUGACGCUGAGAAGCGAAAGCAUGGGGAGCGAACAGG
rnacentral:rRNA from 1 species